CCCAGCAAUGCUAAUUUAACACCAGCAUCCUGGUUGGCAAAGCUAGCAGGGAGGCCACAAACAAAAGUCCUCCUCCUCUCAUGGGUCUUCUUCAAUGGGAUGAAAGAAGAUUGACUUCAAGGCUGAUGUUCAGAGACCACAGAAACAAGUUGAACACAGUGUCAGCUCCCCCAGUCACCCCCUGCACACGUGUGUAGACGAGUCCCCUGCUAUGGCAAAACCACAAGACCUUGCUGGAGCAGCCUCACCCAGGAUGAUUCUGGCCUACAGGGAUAACACAGCAGAGCGAGGAGCUGUGAAAUUUUGUUUUCUUUAAAACAAGCAGAGUCUUCUAAAUCUUUUCUGAAUUUCCCUCUCGCCGUCACGGUGGGGUUUGUUACGAAGUG